UACGUAGGUGGCGAGCGUUGUCCGGAUUUACUGGGCGUAAAGGGAGCGUAGGCGGACUUUUAAGUGAGAUGUGAAAUACCCGGGCUCAACUUGGGUGCUGCAUUUCAAACUGGAAGUCUAGAGUGCAGGAGAGGAGAAUGGAAUUCCUAGUGUAGCGGUGAAAUGCGUAGAGAUUAGGAAGAACACCAGUGGCGAAGGCGAUUCUCUGGACUGCAACUGACGCUGAGGCUCGAAAGCGUGGGGAGCAAACAGGAUUAGAUA
rnacentral:rRNA from 1 species